CCCAAGCAGAGCCUCGUGAGCGUCGGGAUGGAGGAUUUGGUUCUACUGAUGCACCACAAGUCUUUUGGUCAGUGCCAAUCUCUGCACAACGUCCACAGCUGACCUGCACUCUCUACGAUACUUGAAGCUUGCUGUCAGUUGUCCAAGCGGACGAACUUCUGCAUUUGGGACCUGACCGGCAGAGCACAC